rnacentral:lncRNA from 1 species
ACCGAGGCUCGGCGCGGACAGCACAUAGCGCUCACUGCCAGGAGGAGUUCAAGGCGAAGGACACUAUUACUUACCUGAUCCUGUCCUUCUUUUAGGAAUGCCAUGCUCCAUAUCACUCAGGAUUAAGAAUCUUCGGGAGUGCUAAGGAAUGUUACAUCUUGCCUUUGGGCACCCCAUCCCGAAUGUCCUGAUCCCCGAAGCUCAUAGCCGCAUCUAGCCUGAGAUGGAUGAGAAUGUUGCCGAGUUUCUCCGGAGGAUCAUCCUGAAAAUCCCUCUGUGUGAGAUGAAGACCAUCCUAGAAGCCUGGGACUUUUUGUCUGAAGACCAACUGCAGAGCAUAAACUUGAAGCAGAGAAAGGAAUUUCUGGCCCAGGAAGUGAUUCUGCUAUGUGAGGACAAGUGUGCAAGUCUUGAUGACAUGGCCCUUUUAGACCUCAUGUGUAAGUUUUGGGGAUUUCUCUUUAUUUUGGGAUUUUGCGCUCAGAACCACCUGUAACUCUAGUUCCAGGAAUCUGAUGUCCUCUUCUGGCCUCUGUGGGCACUGCGUGCACAUGUACAUAGACACACUGAGGCCAGACAUACACAUAAAAAUAAAUAAAUCUGUAAGGAUACGAAUUCUAAAGUCGAGGGGCCUGGUACCAAAUUGCUGCUCUGUCACUGACACUGUCACUGUCUAGUGUCCUUUGUUGUUUCUCCACUCUGACCCUCAGACUUUG